GUUCUUUUAUAGUAUUGAAGGAGACGUGCAUAAUGAAAUUCUUUCAAGAGUGUUUGAUUGCAUAGAGAGAUUGGUUCCUGAUAUAGAAGUCCAAGAUAAGAUUGUGAAAGAACUGAACUUGUACAAGAAUGCUGUUGGAGAUCUUGGGAGGAAGAUGGCAAUCAGAGCUAGAGAAACUCUGCUUCCUGCUGAAUGGUGGUCUACAUAUGCUGGAAGCUGCCCAAAUUUGGCACAUUUGGCACUUCGUAUUGUCAGUCAAACUUGUAGUUCAAUUGGGUGCAAGCACAAUCAUAUUUCUUUUGAGAAGGUACAUGCCACUAGAAACUGCUUGGAGCGACGGCGACUUAGUGAUAUUGUCUUUGUGCAGUACAAUUUGCGUCUCAAAGAAAUGGUUGAUGAAAAUAAAAAACAGGUUCCUGUGGAUCCUGUAUCAUUUGACAAUAUUGGUAUUGUUGAAGACUGGAUCAUGCAAAAUGAUCUUUGUUUAGAAGACUAUGAGAGCUCAGAUUGGAUGUCCCUUGUUCCCCCUUCUGCCAACAACAUACCACUUGGACCUUCUGUUGAUGAAGUUGAAGACUGGGGAGUUGGUUUUGAUGAUUUUGAGAUUUUUGAUGGAUUGAAGAAAUGAAGAUGAUGUAGCAAGUCAGCAGAACUGCAGAAAGGUAUCGUAAUAAUUGUCUACGCUUGAAGCUACAACUCAGACCAAGAUGUCACUAAGAUGAAAAGGAAUACAAAAGGAUGAUAUUAACUUUCAUGUUGGAUAUUUGUGUUUGUGAAUGCAGACUGUUGGUCAUUUGUUGUUUUAUUUUAUUGGGGGCUUCGGGUGGACCCAAUCACUGUCUGGUUUCUAAACGGAUCAAAACCAAACCGGUUCAACUUGGAACCAAAAUGGUCAAAACUGAGUUUUUUACUUUAAAACAAUUAAAAAAAAAAAUCAGCCACUGGAUUUGAUUAACACUGGACCAAAUCGGUACCAGAAUCAAAGGGGACCCUGUGUUCCAGUCCCUGUUCCCCUAAACCUUGAACCGGAGAUGUUGGUUGUAGCUAAAACCAAUCCGGUGGCCACCCUUAGUUUUGGGUUUGUGGGGAAGCGGGUCCCUUAGUUUCUAUUUCUUACUUUAUUUUGAUUAUUGAUGAAGCUGCAAUUAGUUUUACGUCAUAGAAACACGUUGUAGCUUUGUUAGUAGGAUUUAAAAAAUGACCAUUGGGUCUCAUAUUGCACGUAACAUAAAAGAAUUUUGGCUUGGUUGUGCAGGAACUUUUAUAUGGAUUUUAGGCAUAUUUAUUUUUGGAACAAAUUUAGGAAGUAGUAUUUUAGUUUGUUUAGUAUUCCUAAUCAGUGUUUGUUUUAGAAUUCCUAAACCUUGUGCUAGUAGGACUAAUAAUUAUACUAUAAAUACUUAUGUCA
rnacentral:misc_RNA from 1 species